UACGGAGGGUGCAAGCGUUGUCCGGAAUCACUGGGCGUAAAGGGCGCGUAGGCGGCCCGGUAAGUAGGGGGUGAAAUCCUGCGGCUUAACCGCAGGGCUGCCUUCUAAACUGUCGGGCUCGAGCACGGUAGAGGCAGAUGGAAUUCCCGGUGUAGCAGUGAAAUGCGUAGAGAUCGGGAGGAACAUCUGUGGCGAAGGCGGCCAUCUGGACCAGCACUGACACUGAGGCACGAAAGCGUGGGGAGCAAACAGG
rnacentral:rRNA from 1 species